ACUUGUGCACUUUCUGUGCCCCACCUAGUGAUCCACUAGUACAUAUCCUCCGACGUGACAUCGCUGUGCUACGUAUGAAGAAGAAAAGAUUGAUUAAGACACAAAUUGCUCCUCUCUUGUUGCCAUUGUGCUUUCAGCCAUUGUUGUGCCGUGUGUUUAAAAUUUAGGACAGUAUAUAAUAUAGAAUAACAGGUACAGCUACGAAUAUAACACUACAAUAAAUCUUAUAGGAAUG
rnacentral:lncRNA from 1 species